UUAACCAUGGAAGGUGAGCAGCCAACUCAGUUCGUCCCCUUAUUUCUUCAACCAUUCUCCUCCUACUGCUUCCUCUUUCUUCUUCUUCUUCUGCUCUUUCUUCUUCCUUUGGCACUGGAGGCGGCCAGGCUGUCCUCGGCACUGCAGGCGCUGCGGCCGGUUGCACGGCUGCAGGCGAGCUCGCGGUGGGACGGCCAGCUCCGAGCAGUGCAGUGUGCCGACUAGAGUCGCCGAGGUGAGCUGUGGUAAGAGCCGAUUUCGGAGACGACACCAUAUAUCAGGUUCUGCUUCCUCCCAUUAUAUUCCAUUUUUGAUGCGUAUCGUGAUGCCUAUCUUGUCACUUAGAGUGAAACACAAGUAGCAAUGGGGGACGGAAAUGAGGUCAUUGACAUUUCAUCAGAUAGUGACGAUGGUGAUGCCUAUCUUCCGAUUUUAUCCUUUUUUCGUAGCAUUACACCUACUAACAAGUUUGGAUUAAACACGAGCAGAACAAGUACAAAUUGAGAUAAACAAGAUUUAUCAAAGCGUGCGCCGUUCAACUAUUACAACAGGACAAUAUGGACCUCGUACUUUCUCUGGAUUCGACAAGUACUGCUGGUAUGGAAAUGAUGUCACAUUAACAAAAAGUAUGCAUCUUCAAAUUGCUCACGUUGCCGCAGUAAAUUUGCCGCUGUCAAGAGAACCCUUAUGACCAAUGCGAAAAUGACCUUUGCAGUCCAGUUUAGCGAGCGGUACAUAAACAAGUACAUUGGGAGUCCAAUUGAUGAUCUGAUGGUGUCUAUGGCUGGAACAACACAGUCAUAUCAAAUGAGGCUGAAGAGGUCCAAGGACAGUAGGGCAAUGCUGACCACUGGAUGGAACCAACUGAUUGAUGCAAAAGCAUUCGAUGAGGGUGAUGUUUGUCUUUUCCAUUUCAAGGAGGUUGACGACGUUCUUGUUCUGAAGGUUCAUGUUCUCAAGUAGUGUGGUGGAUGAAAAUCACCAUUUUGUCUGGCAAUAUGUAAUGCCAUCCAAAUUCGUAUGAUGUAAAGCUAGUUAAGACCUUAUUAUGUGGUUGACCUUUCCAGUACAAUCUUAUUAUGUGCUAGUUAAGACUUGAUUAUGUGGGUCAACUAUCUGUUAAUGGAUGCUUGUCAAGAUGGAGGAACUAUCUA